rnacentral:lncRNA from 1 species
CGGCAAAGGCCGUUGACUGGCACACAGCCGUCGCAGUGCUGAGCCUCACCGAGUCCCUGCCCGCUCCUCCCGCCCACCGCCUCCCAGCUGCCGCCGCGCUCACCGCACAGUCCGGAUCACGAAGUAGACGAUGAGCGCGGCGCUGGCCAGCACCAGUACGGACAGGGCACGCUGGGUCAUGGGCUGGCCCUGCUCAGGCGGCACCGACACCUCCGCCAGCCGCCCGCUGCUGCUCCGCGUCGCGCCGCCCGCCGUCUCCGUGGGCUGCGGGGAGACGAAGGGACUGCCGACGAGGGCCACCGCGGCCUCCCCGCAGCGCGCCGCCAGCACCAGCCACGCCAGCAGCCAAGGAGGCGGCGGCCACAUAGUGCCCGCUCGGCCCUCCCGCGUACACCCCUCUCACGCGCCGCGGGCCGCGGCCUAAGGGCGGCCGGGCCCCGCCGCGCAGCUCCGGAACCGGAAGUGCCCGUUGCCAAGUGGCCGCCGCCGCUGCCGCCAUAAUAGUGCCGGAGGGGUGCGUGCCGUUCCCGGCGUGGUCACGUGACGCAGGCGGGGUUUUACUGGCAACACACAACUGCACAUUUAAGGACCACAGAUCUGCAGUCUUU